AAUAGUCGAUAUAAACAAUGUCUAUUGGUAACCUCAUCAUCAUCUAUAUAUAUGUGCGAUCCACUUUUUAAGGACCAGCCAAAUUUCUCCAGCUCCGAUCUACUCUAUGCAGAUCGAUCAAGAGGUACAUUAGCAUCUCCUUUUAACUUUUGCUAUGGAUAAACAAAGAAUGGAGACCUUUAUGAAGGAGUUUAAGCGUCUUGAACUCCUACCAGAAGAGAUCAAAAUCAACAAUCUUGACGGCAACAAUGUUAUCGGAACCACUGGAUUUGGGAAGGUGUACAAAGAAGAAAUAUCUCACUCUACGGGCGCAUCAUGAUUUGCAUUUUAAGUGUCUAGAUCGUAAACAUGGGCAAGGAGGUCCAUGUUUUGUAAGUAUAUCAUGAUGCUUUCCCGAUACACAUGGAAAAGUUUUCUCUUUCUUCUUGGCUUUUGUGAUGAAGAGGAGAGAAUAUCUUAUUUUACGUUUAUACAUCUUGUAUAAGGAAGCCUAGAUCGCCAUUUAAGUUCCACUGCUCUUAUGUGGACAUAAGGUAUCAAUGGAUGAGUUUGGUACUAUGAACGGCUGAUCUAUUUUUUUUAUAAGAAUUUAGAUCGUAAAUAUGGACAGGGACAGGGAGACCUUGAGUUUUGGAAGAAGAUCUCGAUGAUUUCCUAUUAUAAAGAAAAGAUUUGUUAAAAGCUACAACACGUGAUUGAAAGUCAUCAUUGUAUAUAUUGCAAAGCAUCUUCCACCGAAGAAAAUAAUACAAGAUAAUUUCCAAUUAGGUAUAAAAAAUUUGAUAUUAUCUUAUAAUGAAAGUGGUGAGAAUAUCUUUUUAUAUGCACAAGUUUAUAAGAUCUCACAAGAAAAAAAUAAUGUAAAAUAUGUUUUGGUGCUGCUCUACGAGGAACUAAGACUAACGUUAUCUAAUGGGCUAUUGCUCGGUGUUUUCUUCCUUAGUUAUUUGUUAUAGUGAACCUAGAUUAAGGAGUAUUGUUGUUUGUUUUAUGCGUUUUGAAUAACGAAUAUGUAAAAGAUUAUUAUAAUUUGGUAACUUGGUGGAUAAAGUUUUACA